UUGAAAGCCUGAAAGAACAAAAAAGCUGACCCUUCCCUGAGUAAGAGAGAAUUCUUCCUGCGUGAUGAUCUUCAAUCUGGGACAUUGACUUUUUUUCUGCCUUUGGCCUGAAACAUUGGCUCUCCCUGGGUCUCGAGCCUGCGGGCCUUUGGACUGGAACUAAAUUAUCAGCUCUCCUGGGCCUCCAGGUUGUCUAUUCACCCUGCAGAUCUUUCAACUUGCCAGACCCCAUAAUUAUGUGAACCAAUUCAUUAUAAAAAUAAAUCUUGAUUGCUGGCAAGAGGGCCGAACAGGAACAGCUCCGGCCUGUAGCUCCCAGCGAGAUCGACAUAGAAGGCCUAGGUCAUCAAGAUGCACAGCACAGGACAGAAGCCCCUCUAGUCCUGCACCUGGUGACAUGGAACUGCUGUGCUGGUCCACACAGACACAGCCUCCAACCAAGCCUGGCUCCUACCCAUCACAGUUCUGUAGGCUGCCCAUUUGCAGAAGGCCUUCCAUCUGACACUCCUCCUCGCCUGCUUGUUCUCCAGCCAUGUUGUGGCCAAUUUGCCAUGAGGAGGUUGCAGUGGCCAAGACUGUUGGAAACUGUGCGGUGUAGCUGGGAGAGAAAGGACACACUCCAAAUGUUCUUACUGCCUGUGAUGAUGCAGCUACAGUGAUGUACUAGCUGCUCACAAGCCUGUUCCUUCUUCCAUUGUAGGGCAUGAAGAAUUCCCUUAUCACUGGGUAAGAAGGGGGAACAGAAGUUUUUCUCAUGCCUAAUUUUGCGUUUUCAGUAAGGUCUUUUUCAGCUUGUCCAGGAGAAACUGGAAAAAAAAAGAUACUUGAAAUAAACUGAAGGACAUUUAAACAAA
rnacentral:lncRNA from 1 species